CCUACGGGUGGCAGCAGUCGAGAAUCAUUCACAAUGGGGGAAACCCUGAUGGUGCGACGCCGCGUGGGGGAAUGAAGGUCUUCGGAUUGUAAACCCCUGUCAUGUGGGAGCAAAUUAAAAAGAUAGUACCACAAGAGGAAGAGACGGCUAACUCUGUGCCAGCAGCCGCGGUAAUACAGAGGUCUCAAGCGUUGUUCGGAAUCACUGGGCGUAAAGCGUGCGUAGGCUGUUUCGUAAGUCGUGUGUGAAAGGCGCGGGCUCAACCCGCGGACGGCACAUGAUACUGCGAGACUAGAGUAAGGGAGGGGGAACCGGAAGUCUCGGUGGAGCAGUGAAAUGCGUAGAUAUCGAGAGGAACACUCGUGGCGAAGGCGGGUUCCUGGACAUUAACUGACGCUGAGGCACGAAGGCCAGGGGAGCGAAAGGGAUUAGAUACCCCUGUAGUC
rnacentral:rRNA from 1 species